CUCGCGAGCAAACAAAUGAGCCAUGUACGAGUUCAAACUACGAAAACACUGACAAAAAAUCUAUGACUACUGACUUAAAAACAAACUAUGAUGCUAAAACGAACACUUCAGAUGUUGGAAAAAAUCAAUAAUCGUCGUAAACAGAACUUCGAAGAUGAGUCAAUUAACAUGCAAUUGGAUAAAGAGGAUACUCAACGAAGCAAUUUGAAUGUUUUCAGCUCGACAGGUGGAAUGGCUGUGGAAUGUAAUCGAUACCAUAGUAGACUUGCUGAGUUAGUUGCUAUAAAGAACCAUGUCAUGGAUCAGAGCAAGAGCGUCUUUUGCGCAGCUGAGAUCAGCAUUACUUUGCUUGGCUCGCGAGCUUCUAGGAGAGUCCACUUACAACUGUCGGAUUUUGACUUAGAUAUUGAAAAAGGACAUGCAAAUAUUCGUUAAGGCAUUGAGAACGCUACUUCUGGGGAACUCUAGCCAAAGACAGGAAUACUGAGCCAAGAAGUGUUUGUCAUUUUUGUAGUUGACAUUAUUUAUGCUUAAUACGAUGUUUAGACUACUUACAAAGCAAGUUUUUCAUUAGGUUAAUUUUUUUGUCUCAUUUUCUGGAAGCUGAGCCAUUAUUUUGUUUUUCAUCUGAUGUCAUUUAUAACAAAGGAUCAAUACAGUCUUCUUAUUAUAGCUCGUAACUUAAUAAUGUUUUCAAUAUUUUAUUGCUUUGUAACUAUUUGAUGAUUUGUAAAUAAAAUUUUUGUUACAAAAAAAGGUAUUAUUAGUAUUAUUAGUAUUUUAAGUAUUAGUAUUAGUAUUCCUAUUAAAUGUGACACAACUAAUUUUAUCCACCAAAUAAAUGGUAUUUCGUUUAGAUCGUUGUCGCUGAAAGUCCUUGGACACAACAACGAUCUAGCAAUCUAAAUCAACCUUUAAAUGCUAAUUUUGUUAGGUUUUUGAAUUCCUCAACCAGGAGGCAAAAGACGCCAGAUCGCUGAUCCUAAAACAGUAUUAAUCCUACAGGAAAGCAUUGUGGUUAUGUAAGGCUUAUGACGUCAACACUUGAGAGCUCGCGUGACAUCGAGUGGUUCUUGUCGCUUCACGCUUCACGCUUCGCGUACGUCUCGAGCUCCCCGCGCGUUGCGUUCUACCGGACAUUUCAAAGGACUAUUCUCUUGCAGGAUGCCUAACUUAACUCAUAAGUCUUUACGAACAGGACAAAAUAAAUCAGUAAAACUAUUCAGUCUUUUGCCUCGGCGUGAUUUUGUUUGUAAUUUAUUUCCCAAGCUACGAGCCUCGGAGUAAAUUUUUCGAUAAUAGCAUUCUAAUAUUAAAAUGGCUUAUCAUUAACUGUUUGCACAAUUGUGUUCUAAAGUGUCAUGGGAACCACUUGACUUGAACAAUAUCAAGCCUUCUUCACAUGUACAAUAUUGAAUAUUUUAAAAAUAUUUGACUCGUCAUCGUGAAAUGCUAAUCACUUCACAGUUCAGUUCUUUCACAGACUGUCUUUUCAUCAAUGUUCCGUUCCUCGACUGUGUCUUGUAAUCGCAAUUUUUCCUCAAUAAAUUAAAAUCACGUAAUAUAAGCUGCUUAGAGUUGUUCAUAUAUACAUUCUGACGCAAUAAAAAGAUUCUGUACUUAAAAUAAUCUAACGUGCAUAUCGUUAUAUAAAACUCUGAAAUCUUUCUGGUCAAAUGAUGUAGUUUGUUGUGUUUGACACUCACUGAGCUCUCACGACGUCUUCGUAUUUAGGCGGUGGACAGUAAAACAGUGAGCUGUACGAUGGUGGAGGGUCUUCCAUACGGAAUGAUUCUUGAUCAUUCGUUGUACCCUGAUUCAUGUCUCCACGAGCUAAGGUGCCAUUUAUGGCAGGAGAAAUAAUAUUGACGGCGCUUGGAAGCAUCCAGUCGUGGAUUUCACCCUGUUGCUGUCCAUCAGAGAAUUCUUGAUCAGGUUGUGUGUUCUCGUAAUUACUGCCGCUUGGCGGAAGAUUGCCGUCGAAUUCGCCAUUUCGUCUGUAAGUUCCAGAUUCCACGCUGUUCUGCUUACUCUUUAAACAACUGAAGAACCGCUUACGAAAAAUACACGCCAUUAUGACGAGCAAAGCCAAGAGAAAACCAAUGGGUGCAGGCCAGAUAGAUUUUAAGACUGAACUGAGCAUAAGCUUCAAGCGAUCACGAUUUUCUCUGAUUGGACUUCCGUGUUCAAUCCAGACUUCCACUGGCGCUACACCGAAAGCAAAACAAGGAAGCAAUUUUGAAACAAAAUAACACGGAAACUCUGGCUAACUGCGAAUGUCAAAAUUCAACAGACUACAGUGCGAUGCAACUCGUUUCAACAAGUGAUAAAAAGUGUGUUGACAUCCGGAUAUUUCAAUCUUUAAGUUCUGUUUUGGGGACUAAUUACUUCAUUUACAAGUACAGUCAGGCGUCAAAAGCAUUUCCUUGAUGACGCGAAGCCCCUUGUAGAAUAUCACCGACUGCUUCCAGACACACCAGCUGCGAUAAUGAGAUUCACAAUAUCACUCAAACCACGAGGUAUAGCUAAAUAUUCAACCGUCACUGACAAAACUAUUGCUUUAUCAAACUUGAAACAUCGUGUUUCAACUCAUUAGGAUGGCAAACUCAGUGACACUUGUCGCCCACUUUGUAUUUCAGUUUUAUCUUUCACAUUGCAGUAACAUGCAACUCAUUCUCGAUUCGUAUAGCUAUGGUAUAAAAACAAAACUUUGACUACUAAUUUCAAAUACAAUAUCGCAUGUUGAGCUAUAUUGUAACUGUGUAUAAAACCGCACUUAUACCUGAUAGUCAAUUUUCAGUUGUGCAAAGGUUUUAACAGUAAACCAAAGAAUCCAAAAAUAGUAUGUUAUCUCGUGUAGGCGAGUCGUGAGAGGAAACCUUUUGUCAAAGUGCAUUUGAUCUUUUGUUUAUGUGCUUUAAAAAGAUUUUAAGACCAGGUGUCAUUUUACAGCGCUACACUAGUAACAUUAGAAUGAAAAGAAGCAAGGAAUAUUGAGCAGUUACAGGUAACACAAUACUGUUGUUGAGCAAACACGACUUUUCUUCCCAGCAACGAGCGAAAGAUUAAACUGUUGUUUCGCUCUCACUUAGAGCCUGUCAACAAAAUUACAAAAAGCCAUCAAGUGUAAACUGACGAGGCAUUCUUUUCUAAAAGGUUCCACUGCUCUUCAAUUCAAAACCAACGGCUGCAUCCAUCGUUUUUGCUAAGUCAUCGUCUACAAAUAAGGCGAAUUAAUUUGAAGUAAUGGCUAAAACCAAAUACGUUUGUCGAUGAUAAUCCCUGUUAAUCCUCUUAACUUGUGGCCGGUCUUGUUUAUUUUACCUUAUUAUUGCUUCUUUACUGUUUCGAUGCCUUUAAAAAACGAUUAUUUUUACACCGCCGAGAAAACUGAUGACUUUAAAUUUCGUGACACUGUGCUUUCAGUCGUUGAAAAUUAGUUUAAAUCGAAGGGAGUUCAAAAGAAUAAUUUACCAAGGUAGACAAAAAGCAAUGAAGUAAUACUCAGCCAAAGGGUACAACGAUGGGUACAAAUUAGGAAGAUUUAGCGUUUCCGUGGUACUGUCAGGGGUGGGGAGGGGUAAGGAAUCACGUCUACGUCUGAAUAUAACAAGGACAACCCUCGUCCCCAGUCGUUAGACGCGGGUAUAACUAUCCCCGUCCUACUUCCUCUGGGAAAUGACUGGGGACAAGUCCACUCUAAAGAUUCUCGCUCUCUUUCUCUCUCGCCCUAUACCUUUCUGAAAGUAAGGCAUAUAAAGAAUUACUGAUCUAAUGCAUAUACGUCCCUUUGAACGAGAAAAUAUUGCUAUAGCAACGCCGUUUCCUUGAAUGUUUCACCGUUGGUGCACGCACGCACGCAACAUUUGUCUCCGAGCUUAUUGCGGAAGUAAAUUUUGUUUCCAAGACUGUUGCUGAAGUAGAUUUUCAAAGCCAAAAAAGGCCAAAAAAUCUUGCUUCCGCAGCAGUUAUUUCCUCGUUCUCGUAACAAGGAAGACGAAGAUAGACAUUUUUGUUCUUGAUUGUCAAGCCUAAAAUGUUUUGUACGUGAUGUGGUUUAAGUGUGCCCGUGGACUUGUAAAAUUUAUUUCACUCUCAUUUACACAUUAUCGUUUGGAGAGUUGAACCAUUUCGAACUAUUCUUGAAAGCAAGUAAGAUUAUCCCUUCAUAAGAAAUAAAACAAAUCAAUAUAUUCAAACAUAUUUGACAAGCAAAAUAUCUUCCGUCGAGACAUCCUAAAUGAUUAGGAGGAUUACAACCGUAUCCUUCUUUAUCCUGUCGCCUUUAGCGGGACAAAUUGCUAGCUUACCCAGCCCACACAAUAACACUGCAGCAGUAAUCAAUCCGGAGGUCUUGUAUAAAAAUUAACGACUCGUGAUUUAUUCGUAAAAUUUGUUCUGUACAAUUCUUCUAUAUUACUAGAUUCAAAUCGAAUUUUCUGAUGCACUGAGGCAAUAUAUGUACACAGAAUAUUUGCCUGUCGAUUUCAUUUAAUUAUUAAAAAGAGCUACGUAGAUGAAAUUUUGCUGAAAAUUGUGAUGCAUCAGUGAUUGAAUAGUCCGCUUUCGAUGCCUGAAAAUUCUAAUCGACAGUUUGACAAGUAUAUUAAACAACAGCAGAAUUUUAAAACAUCGAACUGAGACCAGUUCAGUAAAAAACAAUUAUUCUACAUCAUAACUUGUCAAGACUUCUCACACCAAUAUUAGAAUGAGAGAAACUGAGCUUCUUGCAUUAAAAAUCAAAAGAAAUAUGCACGGCCGUUUUUAGAAUUGUGGUAUCUUUAACCGCUGUCACUAGGGCAGUCCUUUGCCAUCGUACGAAUGAUCUACAGCAGCGAAUUGAAAUUAUAGGCACUUGCCGAUAACGUCACACAAUUGCUUGAUUGACCGCAAGAAAAACCGUCAGUUUAAACUUGUCAGUUUGUUUAAUUUUAAGAACGGCUCCUAUUUCGUUAAGUUUAAUACGAAAAUGUCUAACUAAACUUUUAUGAUAUAUUGUAAUACGAAUGAAAAAUAUGAUGUGCUAUAGAUAAAAAAAUCCAGGAUUAAACCACUUCAUGUAUAAAAUACUUGAAUAUGUGAUUGGCCUCUUUCAUGGUAUCCACAAGGUGAUAUCCACAUGGUCACGCAAAUGAUAGUCACGCAAGGAUAAGAGAGCGCGUGACGAUCCAAAAAUAUCAUCUUUAUCUGUUUUCUAUUUGUCUUACAGAGGAGUUCGUUCUGGGUCUUUCCUCGAGUAAAGAGUAUUUACCGAAAUGUAAUCAAGAAUGGUGCGCUAUUAAUUCUAAACUGGGUAAAGUUAUCAAAAGAAUACGUUCCUCAGGGUUCAUUUUAUAUGUCAUAAACAA